UUCUCCGGGCAACAGCGACUGGUGCGAAAAAAAAAUGCUCUUCGAGGUGCCAUAUUUACGUGAAAAGAUGAGUGACGUGGCCUGCUAAUCAGUUUCACCUGAGAAUCUUACGAGCGCUCAUGAAGGACAAAGUAGCAACCUCCUCCAGCUCGCAGUGAGGCAAGGGGAAGAUGAAGUUCUGCGACCUGUUAUGCUGUGAUUAAGUAUUAAAAUACUUUUGUUUGCAUAUUCUGUAUAUCUGACUUGUCACCUGUGUUUCUGAAGCCAAGUCACGUUUUUAAUUAUAGGCACUGUAAUGUCAAACCGGCAGCUCAAGGACAGCAGAGCAUCACAUAGAGGCCUGGCUGAGGCACGCCAAAGAACCUCAUGACAGGACAUCAACAAAAGAUGAGGGCUCGGAGUACUACACAGAACAGCGGCGACAGCUGGGCCAAUCCGUGCGAAACUAUUCAGGCCUAGCUUUGACUCUAGAUUUCACGAGAGAAAAAAAAAGUGCGUUCUCUGAGAGUGUGGUAGAUACACAUUUCUUUCCUCUGUAUAUUUGGCUGCAGACUGAGGGCUAUGCAGGUGUUGCCUUCAAAAUGAAAAGUGUUAUGCCAU